rnacentral:rRNA from 1 species
AACUUUCAACAACGGAUCUCUUGGUUCUGGCAUCGAUGAAGAACCGCAGCGAAAUGCGAUAAGUAGUGUGAAUUGCAGAAUUCAGUGGAAUCCAUCGACAUCUUUGAACGCACAUUGCGCCCCUUUGGUCAUUCUCCAGUCGGAGGCAUGCCUGUUCGAGCGUCA